GUAGGGUGCAAGCGUUGUCCGGAAUUAUUGGGCGUAAAGAGCUCGUAGGCGGUUUGUUGCGUCGGCUGUGAAAUCCCGAGGCUCAACCUCGGGUCUGCAGUCGAUACGAGCAAACUAGAGUGUUGCAGGGGAGACUGGAAUUCCUGGUGUAGCGGUGAAAUGCGCAGAUAUCAGGAGGAACACCGGUGGCGAGGGCGGGUCUCUGGGCAACAACUGACGCUGAGGAGCGAAAGCGUGGGGAGCGAACAGGAUUAGAUACCCUGGUAGUCCACGCCGUAAACGUUGGGCGCUAGGUGUGGGGCUCAUUCCACGAGUUCCGUGCCGCAGCUAACGCAUUAAGCGCCCCGCCUGGGGAGUACGGCCGCAAGGCUA
rnacentral:rRNA from 1 species